UCUCAGUUCGGAUCGGAGUCUGCAACUCGACUCCGUGAAGCUGGAUUCGCUAGUAAUCGCGCAUCAGCCAUGGCGCGGUGAAUACGUUCCCGGGCCUUGUACACACCGCCCGUCAAGCCAUGGGAGCCGGGGGUACCUGAAGUCCGUAACCGCGAGGAUCGGCCUAGGGUAAAACUGGUGACUGGGGCUAAGUCGUAACAAGGUAGC
rnacentral:rRNA from 1 species